GGAAGGCCCAGAUGCGCUCGCAGGCCACAAAAAAUAUCCCCCAGUCCUCCACCGAUCACGUGCAAAGCACGUGCCAGAUGGUAGUACCGUCGCGGUGGGUUGUGCGCGGCCACCGCCGGCCACAUCUCCGCUACUAGAAUCGCCUUCUUGCCUUCAGCCUCCGGUCCGCGUAAAAAGAACCCGGGAUCAAUCGAGUUUCUGGUUGGUACCACAGCUUGUUCUAAUCCAAAACCCGGUGCGUUCUUCUUUGAUUUUCCUUUCUGGUUUUGGUUUUAGAAUUAAAUUCAGCAAUGAAGGAAAAAAACUUAAAAUCGAUUCUUUUAACAUUAUCGAUGAAGGCAGAUAGCCGCUAAUGAUUAUUUCUCUGAAUACUGCAAUGGAAAGUUGGGAAUUUGUAUAUUUUUUUUAUUUUUGUUUUCAAUCCAAGAUUUUGUUUCUUGUCUACUUUGAAACCUAAAUAUUGAGAUUGGCGCUCCCAUGGUUGAUGGUUAAUACUACACUUCUGAAUUUCCUGGGUUUUGAUGCUUCUAUUUUGAUAAUUCCUUGUUGAUUCUGUCCGUGCUUGAAUCCAAAUUCUUUUGGUCGAUUGUGGAACUUGCAGUUUAAUUCGAAUAACAAUGUCAUGAGACAUUACAAAGAACAGCGGAAGUUGCAAUAUAUAGGCUCAUCUGAAAAAGCACUGUGCCAUGUUGAUAGGAAUGGGCAAUAUGAUGAUUGAUGUGUGCUUUAUUAACACUCUUGAAAAAUCAAACUCGUGUUAGUUUUGUUGGAAUCCUGAUUUAGCUACAAAGUGAAGAUUGGAAACAUUAGUUUCUCCCAUGUUUACGAGAAAAUUUUGUUACACCUCGGCUUUGCAACUAUUUAUUGCCAUGAGAUGAUGCUUGUUAUUGGUCUUCAUGCACUUUUCUUGUCCUCAUAAUAUUUUUUGUAAAGAUGUUAGCUCAAAAUAUUGUGUGACUUCAUCUCCUUGUCAACUCAGGGUCAUAGAAUUAAGCAGCAAGCUGAUAGUUCAUAUGUUGGUGUCCUGAUUAAAUGGUGACAAUGACAUCUACAAGACAAAGAAUCGAGUAAUUUAUGGAUAGUUGGAAUCAUGAUGUUUAUUUGGCUACUAAAAACUGCCAGUAAGAAGAUCAGGCAGAGGCUUGCAUCUCUACCAAAAACAAAUGCUGAGGCUCGCAUGAAUUUUAAUGUUAUGAUAUGUUUUUUUUUUCUGUGAUCCUAGGUCCGACAUAGAAGCUUGAACAAUACAAUUUGAUUUGUGGUUCUGCUUUAGGUAUGUUGGUAACCAGAAGAAAAAUACUCAACUUUGUGUUGCAUCCAUUCUUUUGUUACAUUAGACAUGAGAAGCCUAUAGGUGAAUGAAUCAUAGGUAAAAACAUUAUUCAGAAGAUAGAAGGUAAGAAAAUAGAGUAGAAAAGAAUUACAUGUUUUCUGUUCUCUCGGUGUAUGCAAUUCAAAUAAAGCAGAAGACUUUUUAUCUUUCCAAAUCAGAGAUUUUUUUUAAAAAAAAAUUCUAGAAGUGUGAAAAAUAUCACAACGCGCCUCUUAUAUAUGCAUGGAAUUUUGUAAAUUUGGGAGAUAAGCAUUAAUAAGUUGUCAAGGUUUAGAAUGUGGCUUGAUGCAUAUAUGAAAGAUAACCAUGUUUAACUAUGUGAGCAUUACUUUGAAAGGGUCAUCGUUGGAUUGAGGUUUGAAACCUAAAAAAAGGAUACUAGCCCCUGUCCUCCACAAAAAACCCCCGCCCCCAAAAAAAAACUGUACAUAUUACAUACAUGAUAUAUGUAUAAAUAUGGUAGAGUGAGAUACACCUCCCCCUCCUCCCCACCCCCAACACACAUGCACAUAGUCAUGUAGAUCUAUCCAUCCAAAUUGACCAGGUAAAUUCGAGUUGUUGAUAAAUCACAUUAUUUUUAAAUGCACAUUUGAACACCUGUAUACUUUUGUUUGUUGUAAUACCUAAAGUGAGAGGUCAACGGUCAUUUAUUUAUUCUCAUUUUUUGUACUUUGCAAGUGCUUACACUUGGUCUGAGUUGGCUAGGCACUUUUAUUUUCUGUAAGGAUUGAUAUUUCAAGCAUUAGGUGCUUUUUUUCUUCUUCUGUUUUCCAAGAUCCACAAUCUUGACAGUGGGCUCUUGCCUUGUCCUCUUUUCACAAGAGAAGACAGGAAGAAUUUGGUGCUAGAGGUGAGAUGGAUUUCAAGAAAUCAAAUAAGUUGGUGUUAGGGAAUUGGUGAAGAUGGUGGCCAUUGAAACCAAUAAUGGAAGGGAAACGAAUCUUUCCUAUCUCCACCUUGUUUCCUUGUUUUUCCUAAAUCCAUUUUGAUGGUACAAUUUGGUUUUUACAUAUUUGUUUCAAGAAAGAUGCCAAGAGAGUUUGCAUGAAGAAGAAUAUGCGGCAAGGGAUGGUUCUUAGCCUUAGUAAGGGCACUGUUAUUUGACUCAGUCUUCAAAACCUAUUUUUAUUUCAUUACUUUAGUGACAUCCUAUGACAAUGCUCGACAAAAAUAUACAAUAACGAAUCACAAAAUUUUGGAUAAAGAUUUUUUUUGAGACUAAAUUUGCAAAAAGUAAGGCAUAUGAGUGUGUUGAGACAUUAUGUGCUGGUUAGCAUCAUAUUUGAUGUAAAAAAAUUGGAUAUUAAGCCAUAAGACUUUUCUUACUAGAGCUUGAGGUCAUGGAAAUAUUUGAAUGCAGUAAAAUCUAUAAUGUUUUACAAUUUUAAAAAUAUUCCUAGUAUUAGAGAUUGCUAUUUUGGCUCAAAUCCAAAGGUCUAGAAAUUGUUUUCAAUUUGGAGGUUGAGCUCAUUUUGAUGGAAUUUGAAGUUUAGACUAUUUGUAGCAAACUCAUUGGGGUAGUUUCUUAUUUACAUGUAAUAUAUUAAGUAAGUGGUACUCAUGUAAACACUCGUGUAAACAAGAUUUGCUUUCAUUUGUUUGCCUGUUGAGUCAUAGGCUAUCCACAACUAACAAACAACCUCCAUCUUUUUCUCCGGGGCAAUGAAAUGGUGAAACCAUUAUUUUAUAACAUUUUUGGUUCAAAUAUGUUAUAAUUGAGCCAUGCCAAAUCAUAUCAAACAAGCACCUUUUGAUAUCGAAUGAUAACCAGUGGUUUAAUAAUUUGUUUAGUACUUAGUAUCGAUCCUAUCACGUAUGGUUGCAUGGGCUUUUCUUUUUUUGGGUGGGUGGGGGAUGAGGUGGUUCUAACACCACAAUCUACCUAUACUUGCACCACCCCCCCCCCCCCAUCCCCAAAAAGCCAAAACCUUGGUCGGGAAAACAGUGCCCUUAGCUUGCGGAACCGAGGUACUAGGAAACAGAGCCCUUAGCUAUUUAACUCUCGGUACUUGGAUUGUGGAUAAAAUAAGACAAGUUCGUAUAAGACAAACAUAAGUGUGGGAGAAAUAUGGGCAUAAUUGGGUAUACAAAAAUAUGCAAGUCCACACAAAAUACAUGACGUGCGCUUAAAAGUUAAACAAAAUAUGGACUUAAUCAUUAAAUUACAUUCUAACCAACAAGAUCAUGUAUCUGCAUGCAUAUUUGGAUCCCUUUUAGCUAUGUUGCUAUAUCCUAAAAUUUGAGGCUUGGAUGGAUUUUACUUCGAAAGACAUAAUUAGCCAACAACCAUACCAAAAGCCAUGUAAGAUAGCUGAGGAUGUUGAAGUUAUUUUGUCUUAGCAUUAAAUAUGUACAAUUCGAUUGUGAUCCCUGUAGUCAAUAGUUCCUUUGUUUCUGUAGAUCUCAUAGAUUUUAAGAGUUUAACAAGUUUGUUUUCUUUAACUAUUUUUCUAAGUUGAGUUGAUUAUAUGUUUGUAAAAAAAAAAGGCGGCCCACUGUACAAGGCUCCUGUCGUUGCAAUAUCUGGAGAGAGUCAGAUGUACGCAUUCUUACCUCUGUGUGCAGAGAGGUUGUUUUCAUAUUUCGAACCCGUAACCUCCGAGUCACAAUAGAGCAUCCUUUUUAUUGUGCCAAGGCUCACCCUCUAUCGUAUCAUAUAGCACAAUCUUCAUAUCAAUGAUUCUAGUAGUCAUUUGCCUUCCUUCAAAACUAAUUUAUAUCAACUGAACAAAAUUUCACUUUAAUAUUAUGGCAUUCCUUUUAUGCCAUUGUGGAAGAUAAGCAAUUGAUGAUAUCUAUGUAUUCCUUCUCAUUGAUCAUUGUUCAUCCUUUUUACUAGAUGUAUUUUGGAACUCUAUUGUUGAAUUGUAUUCAAAUAGUUGUCUCAUAAGUAAUUUCAAAAUUGUAUUGCAUAUCAUUUUUUUGAGAGAAAGGGAGAGAGACCCACCCACAUUAUAAUUUUCUAGGUCUCAAUACUUAGAGAUGCACCACCCAAGACUUGAACACAUAACCUCUGGAUACUAUAGAGAGAGGUACGGCCACGGGGAUAAACCCUAAUUCAUAACUGUAUUGGGUAUCAUUAAGUUGGGUUAUUUAUUCUUCUUUUAAGAUUUAUAGCAUUCAAUAGUACCAUGUCGAUCAAAGAUGAUUUAGAAUAUCUAUAGUACCACAUUGAUCUAAACAACCACGUUGGGAGAAUGAAAGUUUCAGAGAGAGAAUGUAAUGUUCCAGAUUUGUGAUCCUGAAAGGUGGAAUGUCGUGUGUAGUGAGUGAUAAGGAAUAUGCUGUUGACAUGUGCAUUAAAGUGAAAACAGCAAGGUGAACUAUUAUUAUAAUAAUGAAAACAUAAAACAUAAUUCGAGCUGAUUUUUAUCAAUAAGCGUAUACUAGAGUGUAGCUACGUGCAAGACUCAAGGAUGUAGAGAUGGAAAAGGGUUUGCGCCGCUUGUUUCAUUCAUUGGAGGACCUCAAGAUAUGAGACAUUGUUAUCUGGAUCUAGUGGUGCAAGUCAAUCAGUUUGGAAAACCACUUUCGUCAUUACCAUGAUAAGCUAUGAUGAAUGGGAAGAGAUUGUUCAUUGUUCAGUUUGGGAUGAUAUACUUAUAAAAGGGCUGAUGUCACCAUGCCAUUUAAAGUAAAAUGAACGAUCCUGACCAUAAAAUUAUGUGAGAAACUUAUUUGGUUUUGUUAUAGCAGGUCCAUGACACUGAAUUUGAAAAAUGAGGCUUGCCACAUGCCUCUCUUGAUCAUUGUGGAUAAUGAAUGUAAGAAAUAGCGAUGACUUUCAACAAAAUUGUCUGUAUGGAAACAUUGGACCAGUUUGAUGAUCCUAUGUUAUAUGUUACGAUUAAUCAUACAAUCAACAGCCCUCGGAAACAUUGUUGUUAAAAUCUCAUGAUUCACAAUCCAGAUCCCAUCCUUGGAUCAAGAUCAAUGUAGGAUCACAAGAUUUAGAUCCAUAUGAUGGAAGAUACAUUCAUUUGGAUCAUAGGAUCCAACUUGAUUAUGCUAAAUACAAAUUAAAUCAUGGGUGCAUCCAUUUUCUAUAAUUUAUGCGACUAUAUGGCUUUUAGAUUAGUUAUCAACAAUAAAUCUCGAGUAGGAGAAUUAGCAAGUAUGUUAUUGAAGUUCUUAAGAGUUAAAAAUAAAAUGCAAAUUUAUCAAAUUUAUGGCGAAUAUGUUAAGGUCUUAACCUUAUUUUUCUCUAAAAAAAUAUACCUAAAACAAUAACUAAAUUGACAGAUGGUAUAUAAAUUAUUGAAUAACCAAACAAGUAUCUCUUUCUAUAGACUUGCUACAUAUGGGCCUAUAUUGGUGAAAUCUAGAAUUUUUAUAUGUAUGGCUUUCUAUUCACCAUUUACCUACUUUAUAGCUGACUCAUAUUUUGAUUUUCAUAAUUCUUUUACAUUUAGAAAGUUUGCAAAAAUAAGAAAAAUCUAGUCCCCUCUAUGAGUUACGAAUCCCAAUCUUAACAACAGUCCCGGACACCAAAGGCCAUCACAAUCAUGUCUUGUUAAUAGAUACUGAUAUAGCCCAUGUUUACCUUUUAGUUUCCUCAUCAGGUUUGGAUUCUGAUCUUUCAUGAAUGCAACUCCAAUCCAAGACAAUUAUAUCUCCAGUCAAUCCACAUGAUUGUCAAGUAUUAUGCAAGUGUUCCUCAAUUACUUGAUAUUUUACCUGUUCCGUAGAGUGAUUUAUUUGUUAAUUUUUAGACACAGAUCCUUAACUGUAAAUUCAAGAUGCAAGGAGUUGCCAUUUCAUACAUAGAUAUGUUUCUAGUUAAAAAUCUUGAUAUCAGACUCUUUUCUCAAUGAGAUAUAACCUGAUUUUGUUGUGUAAUAAAUUGUUACUGCCAAUAUACAAGUACUAUAAAAGCCAAGAGCUUGGGAUGUACUUUGCAGAGGGUAACUAGAACCUCCAGUCUUUCAGACGGGAAAAAUUAGAUGUAUGACACCUUCAAUAAUUGUGUACUUUGUAUGUCAUGUGAAUUCCAUUCCAACAGUCAUGGAAUUUAUCAUGAUCAUCAUCUGACAUCACCCUUCUUCCUUGUUUUUCUAGAAUGUAAUUGCUGUACGUCUGCCUUGUUGUAUGAAGGGUUAAAAAUGGUAUUACCACUGCAACAAUCAGGUCUCUCUCUCUCUC
rnacentral:lncRNA from 1 species